AUGAACUCUAUGCCAGUUUCCAAAAUGGCAAUUCUGUUCAAAUGGACUUCCUGUUUGUAAUUAUUGGGACUAAAGAACUAAAGAAGCAAUUUCUGAUCAUGUGAUAUGUUUGAAAAACCUUCGAUCACAUGAUGUGUUUGAACCUGGAAACAGGAAGUUAUCGUAUCGCCAUCUUGGUAUCCCAGCACACAGAGAAAAACGAACCGAUCGAAGUGUUUUACAGGAGAGAAGGAUGGAAAGAACAUGCAUCAUCUAUAUAGAGGCUAAAGUUAAUAUUUUUAUCUAAG